GAUCAUGGCUCAGGAUGAACGCUGGCGGCGUGCUUAAUACAUGCAAGUCGAACGAAGCACCUUGGACAGAAUCCUUCGGGAGGAAGACCAUUGUGACUGAGUGGCGGACGGGUGAGUAACGCGUGGGUAACCUGCCUUGUACAGGGGGAUAACAGUUGGAAACGACUGCUAAUACCGCAUAAGCGCACAGUACCGCACGUACGGUGUGAAAACUACCGUGGUACGAAGAUGGACCCGGCCGUCUGAUUAAG
rnacentral:rRNA from 1 species